rnacentral:tRNA from 1 species
AGCAGCAUGGCGCAGUAGAAGCGCGCGGGGCCCAUAACCCCGAGGUCACUCGAUCGAAGCGAGUUGCUGCUA